rnacentral:rRNA from 1 species
ACUCCUACGGGAGGCAGCAGUGGGGAAUAUUGCACAAUGGGCGCAAGCCUGAUGCAGCCAUGCCGCGUGUAUGAAGAAGGCCUUCGGGUUGUAAAGUACUUUCAGCGGGGAGGAAGGCGAUGAGGUUAAUAACCUUGUCAAUUGACGUUACCCGCAGAAGAAGCACCGGCUAACUCCGUGCCAGCAGCCGCGGUAAUACGGAGGGUGCAAGCGU